CAAAAUUUCCAGUUCUCCCAGAGCAUCCCACAAUCCCAGAAUUUCCAGCUCUCCCAGAGCAUCCCUCGGUCCCAAAUCUCCCCUCGAUCCCAGAGCGUCCCCCAACCCCAGAGUUUCCAUCUCUCCUGGACCCUCCAGUUCCCCCAGAGCAUCCCACAAUCCCAGAAAUUCCAGCUCUCCCCGAGCAUCCCACAAUCCCAAAAUUUCCAGUUCUCCCAGAGCAUCCCACAAUCCCAGAAUUUCCAGCUCUCCCAGAGCAUCCCUCGGUCCCAAAUCUCCCCUCGAUCCCAGAGCGUCCCUGGGGUCCCGACGCCACCGCAGCCCUGGGGGGGGACAAAGGACACCGAGGGUGACACCCCCCCCCAGAGGGGAGGGGGGGGACACGCGGUGGGGUUUGAAUUAAAUCUUUGUCAUCCUGCCCUCCACAGCGGAAAGUCCCCGCGUGCCUCCCUCGUUUGUCACAGCGUGACUCUGCCCUGUGUCACCCCCGCGGGGUCACUGGGAACGGCUCGGAGGGGUCACUGGUGUCACUGGGAUCGGCCCGGACUCGCUGUCGCUGCCCCGGGGUGGCCACGGUGGCCACGGUGGCCACGGCACAGCGGAUUUGGCCUGGCGCGCCUCCGGCUCCAGGUGUUUCCUCCCCGCUCCGGGUCCUGCAGGUGCGUCUGGGGCUCCCGAAAUCCCCCUGUUCCCACCCCUCGAAAUCCUGCAAUACCCAGCCCUCAACCCCGGCGAUUGCAGCCCCAGAAAUGUGGAAAUUUCAGCCCCAAAAUCUGAGAAUUCCAGCCCCAAAAUCUGGGAAUUCCAGCCCCAAAAUCUGAGAAUUCCAGCCCCAAAAUCUGAGAAUUCCAGCCCCAAAAUCUGGGAAUUCCAGCCCCAAAAUCUGGGAAUUCUGGCCCCGAAACUCUGGGGCUUCCAAGUUUUGAAGUUUUAGAAUUCCGACCCAAAAGUUCUGGGAAUUUCAACCCCAAAACUCACAGAAAUCUGGCCCCAAAAACCUGGAAAUUUUGGCUUCAAAAUCCUGGAAUACCCAGCCCUAAACCCCG
rnacentral:lncRNA from 12 species